GACGAACGCUGGCGGCGUGCUUAACACAUGCAAGUCGAACGAUGAUGCCCAGCUUGCUGGGUGGAUUAGUGGCGAACGGGUGAGUAACACGUGAGUAACCUGCCCCUGACUCUGGGAUAAGCGUUGGAAACGACGUCUAAUACUGGAUAUGAUCACUGGCCGCAUGGUCUGGUGGUGGAAAGAUUUUUUGGUUGGGGAUGGACUCGCGGCCUAUCAGCUUGUUGGUGAGGUAAUGGCUCACCAAGGCGACGACGGGUAGCCGGCCUGAGAGGGUGACCGGCCACACUGGGACUGAGACACGGCCCAGACUCCUACGGGAGGCAGCAGUGGGGAAUAUUGCACAAUGGGCGAAAGCCUGAUGCAGCAACGCCGCGUGAGGGAUGACGGCCUUCGGGUUGUAAACCUCUUUUAGUAGGGAAGAAGCGAAAGUGACGGUACCUGCAGAAAAAGCACCGGCUAACUACGUGCCAGCAGCCGCGGUAAUACGUAGGGUGCAAGCGUUGUCCGGAAUUAUUGGGCGUAAAGAGCUCGUAGGCGGUUUGUCGCGUCUGCUGUGAAAUCCCGAGGCUCAACCUCGGGCUUGCAGUGGGUACGGGCAGACUAGAGUGCGGUAGGGGAGAUUGGAAUUCCUGGUGUAGCGGUGGAAUGCGCAGAUAUCAGGAGGAACACCGAUGGCGAAGGCAGAUCUCUGGGCCGUAACUGACGCUGAGGAGCGAAAGCAUGGGGAGCGAACAGGAUUAGAUACCCUGGUAGUCCAUGCCGUAAACGUUGGGCGCUAGAUGUAGGGACCUUUCCACGGUUUCUGUGUCGUAGCUAACGCAUUAAGCGCCCCGCCUGGGGAGUACGGCCGCAAGGCUAAAACUCAAAGGAAUUGACGGGGGCCCGCACAAGCGGCGGAGCAUGCGGAUUAAUUCGAUGCAACGCGAAGAACCUUACCAAGGCUUGACAUACACCGGAAACGGCCAGAGAUGGUCGCCCCCUUGUGGUCGGUGUACAGGUGGUGCAUGGUUGUCGUCAGCUCGUGUCGUGAGAUGUUGGGUUAAGUCCCGCAACGAGCGCAACCCUCGUUCUAUGUUGCCAGCGGGUUAUGCCGGGGACUCAUAGGAGACUGCCGGGGUCAACUCGGAGGAAGGUGGGGAUGACGUCAAAUCAUCAUGCCCCUUAUGUCUUGGGCUUCACGCAUGCUACAAUGGCCGGUACAAAGGGCUGCGAUACCGUAAGGUGGAGCGAAUCCCAAAAAGCCGGUCUCAGUUCGGAUUGAGGUCUGCAACUCGACCUCAUGAAGUCGGAGUCGCUAGUAAUCGCAGAUCAGCAACGCUGCGGUGAAUACGUUCCCGGGCCU
rnacentral:rRNA from 1 species